UACAGAGGUGGCAAGCGUUGUUCGGAAUUACUGGGCGUAAAGGGCGCGUAGGCGGUCCGAUAAGUCCUGUGUGAAAUCCCUCGGCUCAACUGAGGAACUGCACGGGAGACUGUCGGGCUUGAGUUCGGGAGAGGGAAGCGGAAUUCCGAGUGUAGAGGUGAAAUUCGUAGAUAUUCGGAAGAACACCAGUGGCGAAGGCGACUUACUGGACACAUAUUGACGCUGAGGUGCGAAAGCGUGGGGAGCAAACAGG
rnacentral:rRNA from 1 species